AAUGAUUUUUAAUAUUUUUUAUUUUAUCAUUUGCUAUUUUUUAAAUAAUUUUCUCUUUUCUGGUUAUUUUUAAUUCAUUUUAAAUAGUUUUUGAUAUUCAAAAAAUACAAAAAUAUUUUCUCAACCUCUUUGAAUGAUGAUAGAUCUAUGAAAAAUAUUCUCAUCAAUUUAUUAAUUGAUUUGAGAUUUAUUUGAGAUUUUAGUUCAAUUAGGUUAUUUUUAUUCAUUUUU
rnacentral:lncRNA from 1 species